AUUGAACGCUGGCGGAAUGCUUUACACAUGCAAGUCGAACGAUGAACCUUAGCUUGCUAAGGGGAUUAGUGGCGAACGGGUGGGUAAUGUAUCGGAACGUAUCCAAUAAUGGGGGAUAACUAGUCGAAAGAUUAGCUAAUACCGCAUACGUCCUACGGGAGAAAGCUAGGGACCUUCGGGCCUGGCGUUAAUGGAGCGGCCGAUAUCUGAUUAGCUAGUUGGUGGGGUAAAGGCUCACCAAGGCGACGAUCAGUAGCUGGUCUGAGAGGACGACCAGCCACACUGGAACUGAGACACGGUCCAGACUCCUACGGGAGGCAGCAGUGGGGAAUUUUGGACAAUGGGCGAAAGCCUGAUCCAGCCAUUCCGCGUGAGUGAAGAAGGCCUUCAGGUUGUAAAGCACUUUCGCAAGAGAAGAAAACUUAAGCUCUAACAUAGCUUGAGGUUGACGGUACCUUGAUAAGAAGCACCGGCUAACUACGUGCCAGCCGCCGCCGUAA
rnacentral:rRNA from 1 species